GCCGGUGUAUUGUAAUGUGAGAGUCUCUUAUAAAAGGCGAAGGAAGAACACGAAGAUGACAUUUGUAUUAGUGCAUUGCACACUGUUUGCUGCUGGCCAGACAUGAGUCUGCUCAGAACUGCUGUCUGCGUAGCGUUUGCUAUUGUCUUCGUUUCAAUGCCCCAAGAAUCCAAGGCAACAGCAGGUCAAUAUUGCAACCGAACGUGUCGCGUUAACGACGAUGGCAGCAAGACUGCGUGCCCUCAUGGGUGCACUUGCAAAGUGAACCAAGACAUGCCUUGGCUCUCGACUUAUGGUCCUGGAAGGUGCUUCAGCAUGUGGUAGCCCCUGACAUCGUUUAUUCCGUCGGCAUACCUGUAAAAUACAUAUUUGAUGGAAUAAAUGUUUAUUCGUAAAUAAAAGGCCGCUCUGCGGAAAGGUCAUAAAA